GUCUAUGGCCAUGCCACCCUGAACUUGCCUGAUCUUGUCUGAUCUCGAAAGCUAAGCAGAGUCGGGCCUGGUUAGUACUUGGAUGGGAGACCACCUAGGAAGACCAGGUGCUGUAGGCA
rnacentral:rRNA from 1 species